UACGGAGGGGGCUAGCGUUAUUCGGAAUUACUGGGCGUAAAGCGCACGUAGGCGGCUUUGUAAGUCAGAGGUGAAAGCCUGGAGCUCAACUCCAGAACUGCCUUUGAGACUGCAUCGCUUGAAUCCAGGAGAGGUGAGUGGAAUUCCGAGUGUAGAGGUGAAAUUCGUAGAUAUUCGGAAGAACACCAGUGGCGAAGGCGACUUACUGGACACAUAUUGACGCUGAGGUGCGAAAGCGUGGGGAGCAAACGGG
rnacentral:rRNA from 1 species